AACGUAGGAGACAAACGUUAUCCGGAGUUACUGGGCGUAAAGGGCGUGUAGGUGGUGCUGUAAGUCUGGCGUGAAAUUUUUCGGCUUAACCGGGAAAGGUCGUCGGAUACUGCAGGACUAGAGGACGGUAGAGGCGUGUGGAAUUCCGGGUGUAGUGGUGAAAUGCGUAGAGAUCCGGAGGAACACCAGUGGCGAAGGCGACACGCUGGGCCGUACCUGACACUGAGGAGCGAAAGCAUGGGGAGCGAACAGG
rnacentral:rRNA from 1 species